rnacentral:rRNA from 1 species
GAUGAACGCUGGCGGCGUGCCUAAUACAUGCAAGUCGAGCGAACAGACGAUGCGCUUGCUCCUCUGACGUUAGCGGCGGACGGGUGAGUCACACGUGGAUAACCUCCCUAUCAGACUGGGAUCACUUCGGGACACCGGCGCAAAUACCGGAUAAUAUCUUGCACCGCAUUGUUCAAUAGUGAAAGACGGUUUUGCUGUCACUUCUAGAUGGUUCCGCGCCGCAUUAUCUAGUUGUUAAGGUAACGGCUUACCAAGGCAACGAGGCGUAGCCGAACUGAGAGGGUGAUCGGCCACACUGGAACGGAGACACGGUCAAGACGACUAAGGGAGGCAGCAGUAGGGAAUGUGCCGCAAUGGGCGAAAGCAUGACAGAGUAAGGCCGCGUGAGUGAUGAAGGUCUUCGGAUCGUAAAACUCUGUUAUGAGGGAAGAACAAAUGUGUAAGUAAAUAUGCACGGCGUGACGGUAACUAAUCAGAAAGCCACGGCUAACUACGUG